AAGCAUCUUUUAGGAGGUCACAUGCCAGGCACCGUGUUAGAGCACUGCGUGUUUUGAAAUAUACAAAUAGUGGGAAACGAAAUCUUUGUUCUGGAUGCAGUUAUAAUUUGGAAAGCGAGGAAAUAAAUUAUAACAAGGGGAAAAAACAGACACAGAGGGAUUGAAAUGCAUAACAAUAGAGAUGAAACACGAAGAGUGAUAAAUGAAGAUUGAGUGUGCACACCUUCUGGAGGAGCCCUGAUUGAGUAUUUUAAAAUACUACUAAAGUCAUGCCGUGUGACUUCUGAAGCUAGCUCCUAAGAAGUCCUUGCAGCUUCUGCCUGCGACUCUUAGAACACUUGCUUUGAAGGAUGCCAGAUGCUGUCUUAAAAGUCUGAGCACUCUGAAACCAUCAUGCUGUGAGGAAGCCCAAGCUAACCACAUGGGCAAAAAAGAUGCCCUCUGACUGCCACCAUUUGAGACACUCUAAUUAAGAACUGCCUCAUUGAGCCCAUGAGGCCCUGUGAAUGAUAAUAAUAAAUUGUUUUUAACCACU
rnacentral:lncRNA from 10 species